AGUUGGUGGAGCGAUUUGUCUGGUUAAUUCCGAUAACGAACGAGACUCUGGCUUGCUAAAUAGUUGCGCCACCCGCCGAGGUGGGCGACAACUUCUUAGAGGGACUAGUGGCGUUUAGCCACGCGAGAUUGAGCAAUAACAGGU
rnacentral:rRNA from 1 species